rnacentral:tRNA from 1 species
CGUUGUAUAGUUCAGUCGGUUAGAACGCUUCCCUGAUAAGGAGGAGGUCGAUGGUUCAAGUCCAUCUACAACGACCA